rnacentral:rRNA from 1 species
GACGAACGCUGGCGGCGUGCCUAAUACAUGCGAGUCGAGCGAACGGAUUGAGGAGCUUGCUCCUCAUGAAGUUAGUGGCGGACGGGUGAGUAACACGUGGGUAACCUGCCCUUCAGUGGGGGAUAACUAUUGGAAACGAUAGCUAAUACCGCAUAACAGUGUUUAACACAUGUUAGAUGCUUGAAAGAUGCAAUUGCAUCACUAGUAGAUGGACCUGCGUUGUAUUAGCUAGUUGGUGGGGUAACGGCCUACCAAGGCGACGAUGCGUAGCCGACCUGAGAGGGUGAUCGGCCACAUUGGGACUGAGACACGGCCCAG